AACGUAGGGGGCCAGCGUUGCUCGGAAUUACUGGGUGUAAAGGGUUCGUAGGCGGUGUGGCAAGUCGGGAGUGAAAUCUCUGGGCUCAACCCAGAGUCUGCUUCCGAAACUGCUGUGCUUGAGUGUGGGAGAGGCGCGUGGAAUUGCAGGUGUAGCGGUGAAAUGCGUAGAUAUCUGCAGGAACACCCGUGGCGAAAGCGGCGCGCUGGACCACUACUGACGCUGAGGAACGAAAGCUAGGGGAGCAAACAGG
rnacentral:rRNA from 1 species